UAAUAAGAGCAUACAUCUACGCAUAUUAAAAAUAUGUGAGGAAAGUCUGGACUCCAAGAGGGAAAUUACAAAAGCUAACGGCUUUGAUUGAGAAAAUAUAAGUAUUAAAUUUCUCAAUACCACUAGUGCCACAGAGACAAUACUAUAAAGAGAAAUCUUUAAAAAGGUGAAAAGUCAAAAAGUGUUUUAAAAAUUAAUUAUAUAAUUUUUUAUAUGUAAAUAUUUAAAGCUAUUUUUGAAAAAUUAUAAGAAAUUAUAAUAUUUGGUAAACUGUGUAUGGAGCAAUGAGAAUGGUAUUUUUAUAAAUUACUCCCCUAUUUUUUUAUAAAAAUAUACUCAGCUUGAGGUUUUAGGUGACUAAAAUCCUAGAUAGAUUGAUGUAGAAGUACAAAAUCCGGCUUAUUACUCUUAUUAAAUU
rnacentral:RNase_P_RNA from 1 species